UGUGAAAGUCCCGGAUGGCGGCGAUAUAGAUGGGCGCGCGAGCGCGCACAGAUAUACCAGCAUCAGACGGGCAAGACGGUAUGAGAAAGUAGGGCGAUAGCCCGGAUUUCGAAUACCGUCGGCAGAUGGCUGGCCCAGUUCCGGGGCGGGCGUGACAAUCGCAUAUACAUUUUGUUUCACA
rnacentral:sRNA from 1 species